UGACCUUGUGCAAAAGUAUGUGUUUAUUUAAGAUGCAUGUGAGGGCAGUAGUGUUUCAGUGAUGGUAUUUUCAGGUUAUUAAUCCUAGUCUCCCUCUGUUCCCUGUUUGCAGGCGGUGAGUUGUGACGACAGCUGUCCUGAGACCAUUGAGUGCAGUCUGGAAUAUUCCAAAUGUGUGCCAGUUCCAUAAGAAAAAAGUUCCAAUCAAGAGUACACUCACCAGUGGGCUCAAUAGUCCAGGACAAAGUCGGUCUGUCCUUCUACUACUACAUGCUACUUGACUUUGUCUGGAAGCCAUGGAUGCUGCCCUCAACAUGCUAAACCCUCACAAAUAAACUGAUAUCAAGAAUUAACAUUGAUGGUGAUGAUGGAAAGGCCUUCAUAAGGUGCCCUCCAGCAACCCCAGCCUGGAGCCAGAGGCUGGUACUGCACAUCAGAUGGGGUAUGAUCUGUGCUAGGCAUCAGAAAGGUGGUCUACGCAAGAAGGCAAGAGCUUCUGCAGACAGUGUUGC